rnacentral:lncRNA from 1 species
GGGAAGGUGGUAAAGUAUAUAAAGAGUAAUUGGUCCGAUAAAGGUUGCAAUGUAUCUAUAUCUAUAUUAGUAUUGAGUUAGAAAUAUAAACAAAUGAGAGAAAAUGAGAGAAUAAAUAUAAACGAUUUUAAUUGAGUAGGAAUGCAAAAUUUAUCCACGAACAUCUACUACUUAUACCUCUUAAAAUUAAUAGCUCGUGCAGAGAAUUACUGGUUUUAUUAGUUGAACUCAAUAUAUAACUUGGCAGACUAAGAUUCCGUGGUGUGCAACAAGUGCACACCUUUGCCACUAAAAUUUUAUAUACAGUAAUUAAGAUGAUGAAAAUAUGGUAGUAAACCAUGAAAAAUAUGCACACUCCCGUCCUUUUCUUACAGAGGGCAACAGCUGCAAUACGCGGCCUCUAGCUAUUCCAUCGCCCCUCCUACGAGUAGGUACGGACUAUGAGACGUUAAACUAGUGACCCUUGACAAAUUCAAUCUAAC